rnacentral:tRNA from 1 species
AGCUCUGUAGCUCAGUUGGUUAGAGCGCUGCACCGGAAUCGCAGGGCCGUAGGUUCGAUUCCUGCCAGGGAUA